rnacentral:rRNA from 1 species
CUACGGGGCGCAGCAGUGAGGAAUAUUGCACAAUGGGGGGAACCCUGAUGCAGCAACGCCGCGUGGAGGAUGACGCAUUUCGGUGUGUAAACUCCUUUUAUAUGUCAAGAAAAUGACGGUAGCAUAUGAAUAAGCACCGGCUAACUCCGUGCCAGCAGCCGCGGUAAUACGGAGGGUGCAAGCGUUACUCGGAAUCACUGGGCGUAAAGGACGCGUAGGCGGGUUGGAAAGUCAGGUGUGAAAUCCUACAGCUUAACUGUAGAACUGCACUUGAAACUUCUAAUCUAGAGUAUGGGAGGGGGAGAUUGAAUUAGUGGUGUAGGGGUAAAAUCCGUAGAUAUCACUAGGAAUACCUAAAGCGAAGGCGAUCUCCUGGAACAUUACUGACGCUAAGGCGCGAAAGCGUGGGGAGCAAACAGGAUUAGAUACCCGAGUAGUC